UCCUACGGGAGGCAGCAGUGGGGAAUAUUGGACAAUGGGGGCAACCCUGAUCCAGCCAUGCCGCGUGUGUGAAGAAGGCCUUCGGGUUGUAAAGCACUUUCAGCGAGGAAGAACGCCAGGGGAUUAAUACCCCCCUGGAAAGACAUCACUCGCAGAAGAAGCACCGGCUAACUCCGUGCCAGCAGCCGCGGUAAUACGGAGGGUGCAAGCGUUAAUCGGAAUUACUGGGCGUAAAGCGCGCGUAGGUGGCUUGAUAAGCCGGUUGUGAAAGCCCCGGGCUCAACCUGGGAACGGCAUCCGGAACUGUCAAGCUAGAGUGCAGGAGAGGAAGGUAGAAUUCCCGGUGUAGCGGUGAAAUGCGUAGAGAUCGGGAGGAAUACCAGUGGCGAAGGCGGCCUUCUGGACUGACACUGACACUGAGGUGCGAAAGCGUGGGUAGCAAACAGGAUUAGAUACCCUGGUAGUCCACGCCGUAAACGAUGUCGACCAGCCGUUGGGUGCCUAGCGCACUUUGUGGCGAAGUUAACGCGAUAAGUCGACCGCCUGGGGAGUACGGCCGCAAGGUUAAAACUCAAAUGAAUUGACGGGGGCCCGCACAAGCGGUGGAGCAUGUGGUUUAAUUCGAUGCAACGCAAGAACCUUACCUACCCUUGACAUCUACAAAACCUGGAAAAAAUUCCGGGUGCCUUCGGGAACUGUAAAACAGGGCUGCAUG
rnacentral:rRNA from 1 species